UUAAUUAUAAAUUUUGGAAUCAAUUCAUAUGAAUUAGAACAUGAUUUAGUGUGGGGGGUUUACCCUUGUGCUGCGAUUAUGUAUCUUAUCUUUAUAUUUGACUAUUUUACUCAAAAUAUAGACGUAACCAAAUAACUUUUUCCCGUAUUGUCAUUUAAGGAAGGCGAUUUCUCUAAUUUUAUCAAAUAGUGAGAUGUAUCAUUAGAUGUAUUUUUAAAAUAAUCUUUCCUUUAAUUAGCAGCAUAAUGGUAAUAAAUUAUUCAGCAUAAAUUAGUACUUCAAAUGAAGAAACUUUAUCUUGAUUUAAAAACAAUAAAUCCUUGAGAUAUCAUAUAUAUUUCCCAGCCAGCCCGCUUUUCGAUUCGUUGAAACAGAAUUAUCAAUCUUCUCAAACUAACAGAAUGAUUCCAUCGACAGAAAACAUAUCUCUUUGGAUUUGAAGAUUUUAAUAUGAUAAGAAGAUCAAUCAUAUCUAAAUAAAAUAAGUUCAGAAAUGCUUUAUAUGAUUUCUUAGUUGAAGUUAUGUGAAAAUUAUUAAAUACAAUUUCAAAGGUAUUUGAUGGUGAUCGUCAAAAAAACUUGAAACUACAAUUAAAUGGAAAUUAAUGUUUUAUACUAUUAUCUUUCUACUGGUCAUUGAAAUUUGAAUAUAAAACAACUAAGACCAUUCAAUCCUUCUAAAUCAUGCCCGAAGUGUUAUAUUUUAUAAAAUUGUUAAUAUUGAGCGAUUUAUUUCCAAUAAUAAAUAUGGCUUCUUUUAAAAGAAAGGGAUAGACUAAAUAAGUCAGAAUUCAUAAUAUUAUACUAUGCAAUGGGAUUUCUGAACGCAUAUCUAUGUACAUUAUACACCAUCACUCAUAAUUAAUUUGGAAGUCAUCGGAAUUGACAUACUAUUAUUCUCUUUCUCCUACUGUCUACUUGUUUCGCUCUGUUUAUUGUUUAUUAUCAGUGAUGUGUGUCUUUAUACCUGGGGAUCCUUGUUCUCCAGGACCACUGGCUUCUAUGUUGUCCUAGAGUACAUUACAUUAUAGAAAAAGAUUGAUAUUCCAUAAAAAAGGGGCUCUGUAGCCGUUUCCUUGGUUGACAGUCGAACUCUCACACCUCACAUGAGCCGCUUCGUUUAAUGGAUGGAGUCGGACUCUCACAGAGCAAGGAACAAACUAACGUCACUCCUCCGGAGGAGAAUAUGAUUUUAUCCCAUGGGCUUUCUGUAAACGCUUCUUUGGAUUGAUGGAGUAUCACAAAACUUCAAUCCAACAGACGUGAUUCCCCACAAGGAGGCUUAGAGUCGAUCUCUGAAAAAAUUGGGAUCCCAUCCUACGAUCAUUAGUUGCUUCCUCGUUGGAAGGGCAUGGCCAGGCUUCCACGAAUUAAGCAUCAAGCCUACUUGAGAUCCGGAGAAGGCUGAGAUCCCAUGCCAACGGCUAUCUGUUGCCACUUCAGAGAAGGACGGGAUCCUCUUUAUAGACUCUUUUGUUGGAAUAUAUAUCAAUUAACCACGUAUAGUUCGUAAAUAAUGUAUAAGCAUUUUUUGUUGAUCUGAGAGAAAUUUAUUAAAUAUAAGAUUAAUUAUUA
rnacentral:lncRNA from 1 species